rnacentral:snRNA from 1 species
AUCGCUUCUCGGCCUUUUGGCUAAGAUCAAGUGUAGCAUAUCCUUAAAUUUAUCCUUUUUACAUUGUAUUUUGUUUUAUUUGGCCCAUUGUUCAACCUGUGAGAUGGUUUUGAUCAUUGCACCUGACCCUGG